rnacentral:rRNA from 1 species
CACUAUGCCUAGCCCUAAACAUUGAUGGCUCCUUACAUUGGACCAUCCGCCAGGGGACUACGAGCAUUAGCUUAAAACCCAAAGGACUUGGCGGUGCUUUAGAUCCACCUAGAGGAGCCUGUUCUGGAACCGAUAACCCCCGUUCAACCUCACCUUUCCUUGUUCAACCCGCCUAUAUACCGCCGUCGUCAGCUUAUCCUGUGAAGGCCCCUUAAUAAGCAAAAUUGGCAAAGCCUAGAACGUCAGGUCGAGGUGUAGCGUACGGAAAGGGAAGCAAUGGGCUACAUUACCUACCACAGGUAAUCACGGACGAUAUAUUGAAAGAUACAUCCGAAGGAGGAUUUAGUAGUAAGAGAAGAGUAGAGAGCUUCUCUGAACCCGGCUCUGAAGCGCGCACACACCGCCCGUCACUCUCCCCGAGCUCUCAUUCAACCUCAUAAUUAAUAUCACCAACUCUGCUGAGGGGAGGCAAGUCGUAA